UGCUCUGCUCUCCUCUCCUCUCCUCUCCUCUAGUUCUCCUCUGCUGGUGCUGCUCAGUGGCUGAUGAGUCCUCCCUCUCUUAGCUUCCUCUCCUCCCUCCCCCAACACAGCAACGACAAGGAAGGAAGGAACCCACUCAAACAACCCACCAACCAAACCAAACAACCUCGCCGCCGCCGGAGAAGCUAAGCUCAAGCCGAGAGCGCACCGCUCCUCCUCUCCCCCCCUUCCGGUUCCGGAACCGCCUGCCUCAUUUCCUUCCAGGGUUCAUUUUGCUCAUUUACUUGCUGCCCACUUGUUCAACUGAUGGUUGUAUUGUAUACCUAGAAAGGAGUUUCUUGUAAAUUCCCACCCAUAUUCGACUCUGCUACCAUCAUUUUCUUCGCCGGCAUUUGGCAAUAAUGUCCGAGAGCGAGUUAGCAGUAAUAAAACCAGAGGCAUUGAAGACUUAUAUUUGGCUUCAGUGCUUUGAUGGUUCCAUACAACAAGUGGAGGAGGAGGUUGCGAUGUUCUGCCCCAUGAUAUGUCGGGAAAUAGUGAAAAAUGGCACAGGGUCAUCCAAAAAUCAUGCCAUUGCUCUCCCGGAAAGAGUUAAUCCGGCCAGUUUGAGUUUGAUUCUUGACUAUUGUCGGUUUCAUCAGGUCCCUGGGCGCUCAAACAAGGAGCGGAAGUCAUUUGAUGAAAAGUUUGUUAGGAUAGACACAGAAAGACUCUGUGAAUUGACUUCUGCAGCAGACAGUCUACAGUUAAAGCCACUUGUUGAUCUUACUAGUCGAGCUCUUGCUCGAAUAAUUGAAGGAAAAACACCUGAGGAAAUUCGUGACAUUUUUCAUUUACCAGAUGACUUAACAGAGGAAGAGAAAUUGGAGCCUCUUAAAAAUACAAAUGAUGAUCCUAGGAUUCGCUUAUUGAACCGAUUGUAUGCAAAGAAGCGCAAAGAGCUCCAGGAGCGCCAGAAGCUAAAGGAUGUUCAAGUACAAGAAGAACAAAAAGAUGAGAGAUCUUUGGAUGAGUUACUUUGUUUUAUAAACGGGGAUGGAGGUUCUGGAGGUGUGAAAGCUGCCAAGAAUAAGAAAAGGAAUAAAAGGAGGAAGGAUCAACCUAAGAAUCCACCAAAAGCUGACUCUGAACCUGUAAAUAAGGAGGGAGCUGUUUGUGUGGUUCUGCGCAAAGUGGAUAAUUGCAAUAUAUCUAGACAUCCGUGCCAAAGUCCAGAUAUACAAGAUGAUGUUGAGGAUCCCUUUGAAGAUACUGACCUCGAUGAUGGACUUGAUCCUGCAAUGAAAGAAGAGCUUGAUAGGUAGUACUUGCUCGUAUUGCUGCUUGAGUUCGUUGUUUGCUCUAGGCACAAUGCCAUGGUCUGCAGUAAUGACAAGCUUUGUUUUUAACAAGCAGAGAAGUUGAAGACUUCGCAAGGAGGUUGAAUUCAGUGUGGCCUGAAAGAAUGCAUUUGGGACAGGAGAAAAGGAAUGAGUCACAUAUUGGUGGUAAUGGUUCUCUGCAGAGGUUUACUGGGCUCAAUCACAGGUGAGUUUUUCUGUCAGGAUCAAAAGACGGAAGCAGAGGAGAUUUGUGGGCAUACAGCUUGGAAGAGAUGGGGCUAAAUACCAAACUGGCCACCUGGCACGUGAGUGUUGGAAAUGCUUGAUGACUCGGAACCAAGCGUGCGAACAGUGCAGCUGUCGUUUCCCUUGGCCAUUUUCUGCAGGCAGGGGGUCGCCAAGUCAGGAUGAAGCAUAGCGAGGUUUAGGCUCAAGGAAAAAUACAGGGACCCCCUUAUUUCAUCAUCGGGGAGGGAUGGUUAGAGGUCUGUUGUUGACUCGAUCGGUUUUUCCUUCGCUGCUGUGUUACCAAUUUUCCUGGAUAGAUAAGAGUGGUGAUGGCAGUUAAGUUGGAGCUAGCUGUUACAUUUACAUACAGAUAUAUCUUCGUGAAAUUCCGAUCCGUUUAUUCACUCACUCAAUUGUGUGGUGCACAAAAAAAAAUGUGGUGGUGGUGUCUGUUGGUGCCCUGACCUGACCUGUUCUUGGUUGAAAUUACCAGCUAGCUGUUCAUAUAUAUGUGAAACUUAACUAGCUA